rnacentral:rRNA from 1 species
CGACCGCUGGCGGCAGGCCUACCACAUGCAAGUCGACCGAAGUCUUCGGACUUAGUGGCGCACGGGUGAGUAACACGUGGGAAUAUACCUUACGCUGGGGGAUAACAUCGGGAAACUGAUGCUAAUACCGCAUACGCCCUUCGGGGGAAAGAUUUAUCGGCGAAAGAUUAGCCCGCGUCCGAUUAGCUCGUUGGUGAGGUAAUGGCUCACCAAGGCUCCGAUCGGUAGCUGGUCUGAGAGGAUGACCAGCCACACUGGGCCUGAGACACGGCCCCGACUCCUACGGGAGGCAGCAGUGGGGAAUAUUGGACAAUGGGCGCAAGCCUGAUCCAGCCAUGCCGCGUGAGUGAUGAAGGCCUUAGGGUUGUAAAGCUCUUUCACCCACGACGAUGAUGACGGUAGUGGGAGAAGAAGCCCCGGCUAACUUCGUG